rnacentral:rRNA from 1 species
GAGCUGCUCCUAGUACGAGAGGACCGGAGUGGACGUACCUCUGGUGUUCCAGUUGUCACGCCAGUGGCAUUGCUGGGUAGCUAUGUACGGAAGGGAUAACCGCUGAAAGCAUCUAAGCGGGAAGCCCCCCUCAAGAUUAGGUCUCCCUGGACCCUCGUGGUCCCUGAAGGUUCGUUGUAGAGUACAACGUUGAUAGGCGGGGUGUGGAAGCACAGCAAUGUGUGAAGCUAACCCGUACUAAUAAACCGUGAGGCUUGACUAUAUAACCCCAAAACAGUU